UCUUAUAUGGAGAGUUUGAUCCUGGCUCAGGACGAACGCUGGCGGCGUGCCUAAUACAUG
rnacentral:rRNA from 1 species